rnacentral:rRNA from 1 species
ACUCCUACGGGAGGCAGCAGUGGGGAAUAUUGCACAAUGGGCGCAAGCCUGAUGACAGACCAUGCCGCGUGUAUGAAGAAGGCCUUCGGGUUGUAAAGCACUUUCAGUUGUGAGGAAGGUGGUGUCGUUAAUAGCGGCAUCAUUUGACGUUAGCAACAGAAGAAGCACCGGCUAACUCCGUGCCAGCAGCCGCGGUAAUACGGAGGGUGCGAGCGUUAAUCGGAAUUACUGGGCGUAAAGCGUGCGCAGGCGGUUUGUUAAGCGAGAUGUGAAAGCCCGC